rnacentral:rRNA from 1 species
UACAGAGGGGGCAAGCGUUAUUCGGAAUUAUUGGGCGUAAAGGGCGCGUAGGCGGCCUGGCAAGUGGAAGGUGAAAUCCCUCGGCUUAACCGAGGAACUGCCUCCCAAACUGCUUGGCUCGAGACCGGGAGAGGUGAGUGGAAUUCCGAGUGUAGAGGUGAAAUUCGUAGAUAUUCGGAGGAACACCAGUGGCGAAGGCGGCUCACUGGCUCGGUACUGACGCUGAGGUGCGAAAGCGUGGGGAGCAAACAGG